rnacentral:rRNA from 1 species
CCUACGGGAGGCAGCAGUGGGGAAUCUUGCGCAAUGGGCGAAAGCCUGACGCAGCCAUGCCGCGUGAAUGAUGAAGGUCUUAGGAUUGUAAAAUUCUUUCACCGGGGACGAUAAUGACGGUACCCGGAGAAGAAGCCCCGGCUAACUUCGUGCCAGCAGCCGCGGUAAUACGAAGGGGGCUAGCGUUGCUCGGAAUUACUGGGCGUAAAGGGAGCGUAGGCGGAUAGUUUAGUCAGAGGUGAAAGCCCAGGGCUCAACCUUGGAAUUGCCUUUGAUACUGGCUAUCUUGAGUACGGAAGAGGUAUGUGGAACUCCGAGUGUAGAGGUGAAAUUCGUAGAUAUUCGGAAGAACACCAGUGGCGAAGGCGACAUACUGGUCCGUUACUGACGCUGAGGCUCGAAAGCGUGGGGAGCAAACAGGAUUAGAUACCCUGGUAGUCCACGCUGUAAACGAUGAGUGCUAGUUGUCGGCAGGCAUGCCUGUCGGUGACGCAGCUAACGCAUUAAGCACUCCGCCUGGGGAGUACGGUCGCAAGAUUAAAACUCAAAUGAAUUGACGG